rnacentral:rRNA from 1 species
UCAUAGAAUUUCUUCAAAUUCAUGAUGUCGUAAGGGAAAAUAAUGAUAAUACCUUACUAUGAGUGUCGUCCAAAUCUGGUGCCAGAAGACUCGGUAAGACCAGAGACGCAAACGUUAAUCAUCAUAAACAGGCGUAAAGGGUUUGUAGGCAGCUUUUAUAAGAUAAUAAAAAUCUAAAUUGAAAGCUAGAAUCAAAAAGAGGUUAUAGUGUAUAACGCCUAGAGGAGGGCUGAUAUCCAUAGAUCCUAGGCAGAAUACUCAGGGCGAAGGCCACUCUCCACUAAUGAUUGACGCUGAGAAACGAAGGUUAGGGUAGGAAAUAGGAUUAGAUACCCCGGUACUCCUUUCUGUAAACGAUGAAUGGUAGUCAUUAGUUUUAAUAAAUAACUAGAGGCGAAGUUAACACAAUAACCAUUCCGCCUUGUGAGUACUACUGCAAAGUAGAAAACAAAAAAAUUAGUCGGUCUCGAAGCAAACGGAGUGAAGCAUGUUAUUUAAU